GACGAACGCUGGCGGCGUGCUUAACACAUGCAAGUCGAACGGUAAGGCUCCAGCUUGCUGGGGUACACGAGUGGCGAACGGGUGAGUAACACGUGGGUGACCUGCCCUGCACUUCGGGAUAGGCCUGGGAAACUGGGUCUAAUACCGGAUAGGACUGCACCGUGAGGGUGGGGCGGAAAGCUUAUUCGGUAUGGGAUGGGCUCGCGGCCUAUCAGCUGGUUGGUGGGGUAAUGGCCUACCAAGGCGGCGACGGGUAGCAGGCCUGGGAGGGUGGACGGCCACAUUGGGACUGAGACACGGCGCAGACUCGUACAGGAGGCAGCAGGGGGGAGUAUUGCACAAUGGGCGGACGUCUGAUGCGGCGACGCCGCGUGGGGGAUGACGGCCUUCGGGUUAUAAACGCCUUUCACCAUAGACGAAGGGUUUCUGACGGUAGAUGGAGAAGAAGCACCGGCUAACUACGUG
rnacentral:rRNA from 1 species